AUUGAACGCUGGCUGCAGGCCUAACACAUGCAAGUCGAGCGGAGCGGCGGACGGGUGAGUAAUGCUUAUGAAUCUGCCUGUUAGUGAGGGAUAACGUCCGGAAACGGGCGCUAAUACCGCAUACUAUCAGAUGAGCCUAGUUCGGAUUAGCUAUUUGGUGGGGGAAAGGCCUAACAAGGCGACGAUCCGUAACUGGUCUGAGAGGAUGAUCAGUCACACUGGAACUGAGACACGGUCCAGACUCCUACGGGAGGCAGCAGUGGGGAAUAUUGGACAAUGGGCGAAAGCCUGAUCCAGCCAUGCCGCGUGUGUGAAGAAGGUCUUCGGAUUGUAAAGCACUUUAAGUUGGGAGGCGUUACCAACAGAAUAAGCACCGGCUAACUUCGUGCCAGCAGCCGCGGUAAUUC
rnacentral:rRNA from 1 species